GUGCUUGUUUUGGCAGCACGUAUGCUAAAACUGGAACAAUACAGAGAUUCGCAUGGUCCCUGCACAAACACGACAUGCAAAUGCAUGAUACUUUUAGAAAUUGG
rnacentral:snRNA from 1 species